GUCUAUUUGGAGGUAUUUAUAGUUUGGCCUGCUCACUGAUUUAUAGAAUUGAAGAGCUGCGGUAAAUUGACCGUGCAAAGGUAGCAUAAUCAUUAGUUUUUUAAUUGGAAGCUUGUAUGAAUGGUCGGACAAGAGAAAGUCUGUCUCUACUAUAAAAGUAUAAGUUAACUUUUAAGUGAAAAGGCUUAAAUAUUUUAGGGGGACGAUAAGACCCUAUAAGCUUUAUAUUUUAUUGAAAUUUUAUUAAAUUGUUAAUUAAAAAUUUAAUUUGGGUAAUAUCUUUUGUUGGGGCGAUGUGAGUAUAAGUUAUAUUAGCUGCUUAAAUGAGAAACAAUAAUGAGUGAAUGUUAAAGAAAUAAAUGAUCCUUUUUAGAGAUAAAAAGAUUAAGUUACUUUAGGGAUAACAGCGUAAUUUUUUUUAAGAGUCCUUAUCGAAAAAAAAGUUUGCGACCUCGAUGUUGAAUUAAAAUGUCUUUUUAGUGUAGCCGCUUAGGAAGAAGGUCUGUUCGACCUUUAAUUUUUU
rnacentral:rRNA from 1 species